UGCAGUCAACGGCAGCGCGGGGCAACCUGGCGGCGAGUGGCGAACGGGUGAGUAAUACAUCGGAACGUGCCCUGUGAUGGGGGAUAACUACGCGAAAGCGUAGCUAAUACCGCAUACGACCUACGGGUGAAAGUGGGGGAUCGCAAGACCUCACGUCAUAGGAGCGGCCGAUGGCGGAUUAGCUAGUUGGUGAGGUAAAGGCUUACCAAGGCGACGAUCCGUAGCUGGUCUGAGAGGACGACCAGCCACACUGGGACUGAGACACGGCCCAGACUCCUACGGGAGGCAGCAGUGGGGAAUCUUGGACAAUGGGGGCAACCCUGAUCCAGCAAUGCCGCGUGUGGGAUGAAGGCCUUCGGGUUGUAAACCACUUUUGGCGGGGGCGAAAUAUCGAGUGCUAAUACCAUUCGGUGAUGACGGUACCCGCAGAAUAAGCACCGGCUAACUACGUGCCAGCAGCCCGGGGUAAUA
rnacentral:rRNA from 1 species